rnacentral:rRNA from 1 species
AUAGUGAUAUGGAGCAAAACCCUAAAAAGCGGUCUCAGUUCGGAUUGAAGGCUGAAAUUCGCCUUCAUGAAGCUGGAAUUGCUAGUAAUGGCAGGUCGGCAUACUGCCGUGAAUACGUUCCCGGGCCUUGUACACACCGCCCGUCACACCAUGAGAGUUGGAAAUACCCGAAGCCUGUGAGCUAACUGUAAAGAGGCAGCAGUCGAAGGUAGAGCCAAUGAUUGGGGUGAAGUCGUAACAAGGUAGC